GAAACUGUUCGAUUAGCAAACCGAGUCGCACUGCGCCUUUUGGAUGGAUCAAUCCCUAUGUGCCCAGUGGGGUAUGGCUUUGCAUAUCCGAGUCUCAAUUUUUGUAUGUAUUUGUGUAUAUUUUAUAUGUAUAUAUAUAUAAUU